UUGGGACAAACAAAAAACGGGCCUGCCUCUCAACAAGCUUAUGAACGGAAAGAGCACAAACAAAAUGAACAGCUAAUCUGGUAGGUCACAGAGAAAAAUGCAGAAUAUCACAAAGGAAAGAGAUCCAUCUCUGGGGCUGUCAAGAGUGCAGAGAACUGACACCUGACCUGGCUCGAAAGGGGAAACAGUGGUCCUCAGGAAGCCUCCUGGGCAGGGGAGGAACAGUGGAGAGAGGGGGAAGAAGGGGCCUUUUUUGGAAUCAAAGCAAGCAGCAGGUGCAAAGCAAUAGAGGAAAGACAUAGUAUCUCAUCCUGAAACACACGCAGUCAGCGUUCCUGGCGAAUUUGAUGGCAAGAGACAGAAAAUGAGGAGGUGGCUGCUGUGAAAGAAGCCGGUACAGGUGAGGGCGCUGAGCCACGGGGACCACCUGGACCACUCUCAGCCCCAGUACCGCCAGCAGCAGGAGGCGGGGGAUGCUUCCUGAAGAGACCUGGUCACAUGUGCAUGUUGGAGCGAGAUCUCAGGAUGAUAGCAAGAUCAUGAAGAAGAGGAUUAUGCAACCUGAGCCCCAAGAUGUAAAAGGCUUAGCGACUGUAUAAGGAAGAACUAAUUGAAGACAAGAAGGAAUGUGCAGUGAUGUACAUUAAUGCUGUGGCAAGACCUAUUAAAGGAAAUUAAAAUUGAUGGAUUUUAAGGACUCCAUAGAAAAGGAAAAGCUGAAGGAAGUAUUAUGAAAUUCUUAGUCUGGUUUGGUUGUUGAUUUCUUUCUAGACUCUGGUUUACCUCCUUCUUAGAAAAAAUUGACAUCAUGUCAAAAUUGGACCAAUUCACAGCCUCCUGAGUGGUCUCCUUGCCUCUGGACUUCAAUCUUUCCACAAGAACAUUCCCCUCUGCAAAAGGAGGAGACUGUGAAAAGGCCCCGCAUCCUGGGGACACCUGCUACAUCGAGAUCGGAUGGAUUAAUGGAAUGACACAGCAAACAAGCAAGUGACCAAACGCAUGAAUGAGGGAGGGAAUGAAAGGAUGAGUGGCUGCCUCCAUCUUCAGCAUGAGGCAGCAUCUGAAGGGCACAGUGAGGUCAGGUGACUGGCAGAGAGCCACACAGUGAUGUCACAGCAGUGCCCGUCAGAUGCCAAGUUUAUUUUCUUUGCUCUCUCCAUCUAGCUAUGAACUCUAUUUCUUAAAAUCCCAUAAAAUACCAACAAUAAGGAGUAAAAAAUGGAAAAAUAAAUCACAACAUUAAGUGGUUUUCUUACAUGAAUUUAAUGUACAAAGGAUAACACAAUUAAGAUUGGGAGAUACAUUUUCCCUGGAUAGGAAGCAAAAGUAGGUCUCUUGUUUACUAGAGCUUCUGCUCCAUUAAAUGGAUUCAGUAAUACUUUUUGGUACUGCUUUGUGGAUUUCUGCAUAAAAUACUUUGUAUAUGUCCAUGUGUUUCUGUUUUUACCGGAGUUCUUUAGUGAAGAGAGACACAAACACCUUCCCCACUGCCCAUUUUAGUAGGACCGGUGUGGGAGAGCAGGCUGGAGAACAGUCUGUGUAGUAAGAGAUCUCCCAUUGUUACACCGAUGUUUGCACUCGAUUUCGGCUCUUUCCACCUUUGCACAGGUCGGGAAUACAUCUGAUUGCAUUGCUGUAGAGAACCUAUUAUCUUGGAACAGGUAUCAAAAGAACUUGAAUGAGCAUAAAGAGUCCACAUUUCAUAUGAAACUCUGGUUUAAACGUUCUAACAGAGAACGCGACUCCAGUGGCCCUGUCAGGGAAGUCAACUGCUGUCCAGCGAGUCCUGCGCUCGUGGCGCCUUCUGUCCAUCCCCUGGUCCUGAUCAGAUAUGCAUGAAUCGUUGCUUCUUCCAGCCUCGCUGCGUUCUCGCUCCCUCUGCCUCUCUGGCGCGGCUCUCCCUCCCUGCCUCCCUCUGGCUUCUGUUCUUUCUUACUCCUUCGCCCGGCUGCUUAACUACAGCUCCCACUGGAACUUGCACAAUCAAAAACAGCUCUCUUCUCGAGCAGCCUCCAGAAGCGCAUCACCUGGAGCGGCGCCUCGCUCCCCGCCCGGCCUCGAAGCAGCGAGGUAGCUGGGGGCGGGGAGGGGACCCUUCUCCCGCCCGGGCCGGCAGAGCAUCUCCCUGGAGAUCCCCGCAUCCCGCCGCGUCCUGCCCUCCACCCCUGUAGCGGUGAUGAUUGCGUUUCGCAGCAAGGAUGGAAAGAGAAAAGCUCCUGCCGGUGGCAAGUGAAAGUCAGGAGAGGUUGCUGCAGUAGCCGGUGCUGCAGAAUGUGCGCGUGAAGAACUGAGCCCCGCUCCGUUCUCCAUCCCGCCGGGUCUUCGUUCACUGUCUCAAGGAGAGAAAAGAGAAGCAGAUGUCCUAGCCGGGCGGGUGCCACCCUGGAUCUAUAACCGUGAAGUCCCCACUGUGGAAAAUGGUAAACAAAGACAUGAAUGGAUUUCCAGUCAAGAAAUGCUCAGCCUUCCAAUUUUUUAAGAAGCGGGUAAGGACAGGUUGUGUUUGCUUCUUUUGUUUUCUGGGCUGCUCUGAAAUGCUUCGAAUGCUUGUGGAGGUGAGCCUGGGGUUUGUUGCUCAGCCCUUCAGGAGAGCUGCCCUGCCGGUAGCGGUGGUCAAGGUGAGGGCUGCUCUUGCCUGGAUUCCACUCUGUUGGGGGCGGUGGAGGGGAGGGGGCUAGGAAGAGUUGCACUGGGCAGAGGGGGUUGGGCUGAGAUGCCUUGGAGAGGGUGUGAGCCCGGAGUGGAAUGUCUCAGUCAGAGCCACCACAAAGGUUACCAGGUAGUUUCAGCUGAACUGGCCUGAGUACAGUUAUGGCUAGUAAACGAGUCCGGUUAAUUGAAGAUCUCUCUCUCUCUCUCUCUCUUGCUCUCUCUCUCUCUCUUUCUCUCUUUGAAGGAUUCAACUUUCCCAUACCUUUCCUUUGCUCUUUCUCAAGAGCUGCAUUCUUACCUUCAUUAGUCUGAAGGAGCAGCUUUGCUCCACAGCCCCACUCAGCCCAUCACUGGCUGUGUCCAUCUGUGGUAUUAAUAGCAAAGGACCAGAGUGAGCUUUCACAGAAAUGAUGGAAUCCAGUGUUUGAAUCCUGUUUCAAGUUGCCCCUGUUUUGCAUAAUACAUCUUUCCUUUGCUUAGUAUAUUUUUUUAAAGAGAGAGUGCCGGUGUAUUUGAGUAACAAUGUAGGGGUUUGCUGCUGUGUAUAUAUUUACUGAAAUUGCUUGUUCUUCCAUUCAGAGUGUUAAUAACGUUGUAUGGAUUGUAAAUGGACUUUUUUUUCUUUUUGUGUGUGUUUCACAAUAAACUCCAUUAAUGGCCACACUGGUGGUCUGUAAUUUUGCAAAUUUGUACCCAAGUAGGGGGUAAGAACUGAAUGACUGUUGGAGGACUGGUGACUGACAUGCUUACAGAGAGUGUAUUUUAAGCAAGGGACGCUUUCUGUAGCACCCAGCUGCCCCAUCCUUUUUAAUACCCCAUGGCACUUUCAUCCAAAUGGUUCUCUCCAUUCAUUCCUCCUUCCCUUCAUUCAGGGCCCUUUGGUGCCCUGCCUGAAUCACAGCUUUUCAGAACUCCCCAGCAGAACACUGAAUCACAGGCUGGGUGGGAUGACCUCCCUGCACCAAAAGGGCAAGCAGGGAGCCUAGCCUGGAAAUGCAGCAUGUCCGGUCCAGCUAGAGGGCCAGCUGAGGCUCCCACACGCCUUGACUGAGCUCUGCCAGUCAAGCAAAACCUCCCCAGGAGUUCAUGGGUCCACUGAAACCAACAGAAACCCGACUCUUGUGCAGUGCAAGUACCAAGCAAGGGGCGUCUCUCACUAGCAGAGUCUGCAAGCUGAAUGACAAGAAGUCAGUACAACUCCACACAGCAGCACCACGCUGUUUAGAGUUCUCUUAUGGACAAAAUAUUUCUUUCCAAGGGAGAAGCUUCUUUGCGAAAGUGAAUUUCCAAGAAGACGUAAAUAUUUUGCUCAUAAAAAGAAUGCCAUGACCUCUUUAUUCAGUACUUACACUCUCAACUCCUUUUGAUUAAUUCAGUUUUCCUGUUAUUUUUGAGAAAGGGUCUUGCUGUGUUGCCCAUGCUGAUCCCUUACUGCCUGGGCUCAAGUGAUGCUCCUGCCUCAGCCUCUAUAGUCAAUCUACUGUGGACGUAUUAAUUAAUUUAUUUGAUGGUACUAGGGGUAUUUUAUUUUAUUUAUCUAGUUCUGAGAUUGGAACCCAGGGCCUUAGGCAUACCAGUAUUCUACCACGCAGUUACUUGCCAGGUUCCAAGGGCCAUGGUUUAGAACUCUUUUAGUCAGUUACCUUUAAUCAACCACAUGGCGUUUAUGUAGAUUUUUUCAAAAGUUAUCUCUUAUUUUCUUUGUCAUGAACAUAUGCUAUAGAAAUACUAAUUUACCAUCUGGUUUCAUUUUGCCUAGAAGCAUAACUUACCAAUACAUUGUAGUUUUAAUUAGUGCUUCUGAAGACCUUGACUUUUGCCAAGAACAAAUCAGUACUGGUAGCGUAUCUGAGUCCUUGCAGGGAGAGAGUUUGCUUCAAGAUAACCAGCAAGUGACUUCACCUGCCUUCUCACCGGGGCCUGUCAGUUGCUGGAGGUAGGAUCAGCAGCUCCCCUUGCCCUCUGCUCUCUUUGCUCCUCAAGGACAGCUACCCAAAAAGAAUACGAUUUUGUACAAAGCCAUUGACAGCCCCAGGGAGGAAUUUUUUGAUUCUUGUAUGCUUUGGUUUAUUCCACACUGGGUUUUUUU